ensembl:lncRNA
AGCAUUAAGUGCUAAACUUCAGCUAGGAGGUUAAAAGUAAGUGGACUGAAGAGCUGAUCGCCGGCAGCUUCUCUCUGCUUUCUUGAAUAUGGAAGAGAGUUAUGUCGCCUACGCAGAAGACCUAUACAGAAGAGGUUCUUCACCGUCACUACCAGAAGCACACACAAGAUCAUCCUGAUCCCACUCAGGUUAACUGUCUGGACAGCUGUGAGUCAAGCCUUCAAGCCACGCUGCUUUAUCUGAUUGGUCUCAGACUUGAUCUGGCACAUGAAAGGAAAUGUGAGGAAGUUUCAAGCAGGGAUCGUUUUGCAAGUCCAGAGCUGAGGGUGAGGUCAAGUUCACUCACAUUUUUGGAGUAUCACAUUGCAAACAUAAAGCACCGUGCAUACAGCAUGAGGGUUGGUGGAGCAGUGGUUUCAACUGCAGGAGAUCUGUGUUGCUGGAGUAUUUUUGUGUUGUUUACCAGCAUCAAUGAAAUAUACCACACUAAAGAAACAGCAGUUGCAUGUAUUUUUUAAAGGCGACCCUUCUAGGGAAUAGGCAUAUGGUGACUUUAUCUUCGUUUUGAUGUUUAACUCACACAGGUGUUGCAAGCAUCUCGUGGAGCUGCAGGGUAAUGUUAGCAUUUAGUUAAUGAGUAAGUUCUUAUUAUUCAUGUGGCAUUAAUUUAGCCCACGAUGUUACUCCUUUCCUCCUGCGGUGCGUUCAGAGUCGUGGAGAUUGCUGCAAGAAUUUAUGGGAUGGAAAAGCAGAUAUUUAACUAUGGGGCUUUUUAAAGCUGUGUGGAGUAAUAAAAUCAUUACUGUUGGAAAAGACUACCAAGAUCAUCUAGUCUGACCAUCAACCCAUCGCCACCAUGCCCUCUAACCAUGUUCCUCAGUCCUACUGACUCAACUGCCCUCCUUGCAAACAAGCUCUGUUCCAGACUCAGCCUUAGGUCGUCACUUCAUAAAAAUGGUCUCAUUUCUACUAGGGCCUCACUGAGAUUUCCCAGUCACUCAUUUUUCUGAAGAUGUUUAAGUCUUAAAUGCGUACUUUGUUAUUCUGAAAGGCUUUAUGGCUUUGUGUAAUAAGUUUUUCUUAAAGGAGAAUUGUUGGGUAAGCUGUACAUUUCAGCAAAACCACAAUUUAAAAUUUUGUUAUCUGUUGUAACAUGCAGUAAAUUCCAUGGUUAAUGGAAGAGCAUAUUGAGCAAAAUCCUGUGCCACUCCUGAGCUCAGUUGUACCAAGUGCUCUAAAGGCUGUCCGUGUGGAACAGGUCUGCAUGCUUGUCACUGUUGCGGUGUAAAUGUUGUAUUUCUCAACAUCUACUACGGAGAAGCAGGAGUUUAUUCUCUAAGAAUAGAAAAGCAGAACAGAUAUGAGCAGCUCCCAGGGGGUCGCUGGCCAUCAGCAUUUUCACACUUAGCAUAUUCAGAUAAGUGUGGGGACCUUGUGCGUGGUAGAUGCAAAAUGUUGUACAUACCCACUUUGUUUCCUGAAGUAUUUCUACGUUUACUUACAGCUACCUGAAAUGUUGGAAUAUAGAUGAUACAGCUGUAUGAUGAGGAAUCUUUGAAGUCUUCAGAUAUUCUCAGCUGAGCUUUUAAAAAAAAACAAUGCCCCCCCCCC